rnacentral:lncRNA from 1 species
CAUGAGUGAGACCGUUCAGCAAAUCAAAGAACAAGUGAUGAACCUCGCUCGUCGACCUACUACUUCGGCUCCCGAUGACACCGACGACGAGAGUGAUGAGGAUGAUUAUGUAGAUCUCACUCCCUAGUUUAGAUCUCUGGACAUUUAUGAACUUUUUAAAAUUUUGAAACGAAUUUUAAAAGACUUUAUAAGUCUUUAAUUUAUGAUUUAGAUACUUUUGAAUGUUAUUUUAAGUUUGUUGUUUUAUGUUUUGUUUAGAUUGUUUAUAAUUGUGUGUGUUUGAUUGGGCUGAAUAGUGUAGAAUUGAAUUGAAUUGCAUUUGCAGGUGGGCAGCAGAAGCUGCAAGCUGCUACUGUCAAAUAUAUUGCAGAAAAAGCGAUGGACAGUAUGGUUCAGUCCGUCGCUUUUUAAAAAGCUUCGGGUUAAAAAGCGACGGAGGUGACUGCGUCAUUUUUCCGUCGAUUUUGACCAAAAAAGCGACGCUUUUGGCCGUCGUUUUUUGACAAUUUUUUAGUAGUGGGAGAAUCAAGGGAGGAAUAGAAUUGUACCCGCUAUCUUGAUGAAUAAAAUUAUGUUUCUUCAGAUUUUAUUUGUGUGAUUUAUUUAUUUUCCAUAUGUUUAAAAUUUGGGCCAAACAAAUUGGCACGCCCAGUGGGACCAAAUCUGCCCUUCAUCUCUUCUCUCUUAAAUCAAAUCUGAAAAUUUGAAGCUGCAAAGGUGGAAGAAUGAGUACUUCAAGCCUCAUCUUUGAUUUUUAUCAAGUCUACACUCCGACAAGGCUUGAAGCAGGGGGCAUUUGUAGACAUUGAAAUUUUGUGGGACUCUACAAGAUGUUUUCAAUUCAAGUUGGGACUCUACUAAUUGUGUUCAACUCAAAUUAUGAUUCUUGGAGGCUACUCAACCUUAAACCCUAGUUUAUGCCUAUAUAAAGGGUACUAAAUUCCCUUAAAAGGCGAUCUCAAAAAAUUCCAUAAAGAGAUCAAGACCUCCACAAAAGACAUGGAAUAUUCAUAAAUCAUCCUAGUUCGAGAAAUACGCCACUAACGUCCCUCGAAUCAAGGGAGGAACAGAAUUGUACCUGCUAUCUUGAUGAAUAAAAUUCAUCCCUCGAAUCAAGGGAAGGACAUAAUUGUACCCGCAUAUUUAUCAAUAAAGUUAUGUUUCUUCAGAUUUUAUUUGUGUGGUUUAUUUAUUUUCCAUUUGUUUAAAAUUUGUUGCAAACAAAGUGACUCGUCUAAUUUGAAAAAAAUAUGAUCGUUGUGUUGUAGUACAUCAGUUUUGCUAUGUGUUUUUGUGUUACAAUCGCAAACCAACAUUAAAAAUUACUUUUAUAAAAUUGAAUUUUGUCUAUGAUGAGUCGUUUAAUUAAUGGUGUACAAUAGGCUGUUGGUGUUAUUCACCAAUUUGGUUUUUAUUUUUUUAAUUUUUUUGUUAUUAAAUCUUUGAUUUGUUUUGUUGGGUUUUGAGAUUCUGAUAGAAAGAAUAUUUACUGAUUAUUUGUUUUGAUAAUUGAUUUGGUUAAAUUGAUCGUUUAUAAUUAGCGAAAAUGAUGGACUGCAUCUUUGAUAUACUUUCUGAUUUUUUUUUGUGUCAUUCAGAUAUUUUUUUUUGUACAUGAUGUUGGUGUACGUAUUGAUUAUAUUUUGGUGCAUAAUGAUGGUGUAAACAGAAUAUUUAAGUUAAAACCUACUUUUGUAAAAUUGAAUUUUGUCUAUGAUGAGUCAUGUAAUUAUUGUGUAAAAUAGGUUGUUUUGUUAUUCACCAAUUUCGUGUUUUGAUUAUUUUUUGUUAUUAAAUCUUUGGUUUAUUUUGUAGGGAUUUGAGAUUCAGAAUAGAAAUAAUAUUUAGUGUUUAUUUGUUUUGGUAAUUGAUUUGGUGAAAUUGAUCGUUUUUAAUUAGCGACAAUGAUGGACUGCAUGUUUGGUGUACUUUUGGUUUUUUUUGGUGACAUUCAAAGUUUUUUUUAAUUUUUAAAUGAUGAUGGUGUACGUAUUGAUUAUAUUUUGGUACAUAAUGAUGGUGUAAACACAAUAUUUAAGUUAAAAAUUAUCAUGUUUGCAAAAAACAUUCUUUAAAGCAAAUAUAUAAUUUGAAUACAUUGAACUGACCAUGCUAUUUGAGGAGAUGCACUACUAAUAACUUUUUGUCUAAAACAGGUAGAUAUGUUGAUUACGAUAUUGAAGGAGUGAUAUAUGAUGCAAACACCAAAUAUGAAGGCUUAAUUACCACUAUUGCUUCCCAAUUAGGUGUGGACACAACAAUCUUUCAUUUAGAACUAAAAUAUGUCGUGAGUGGUCCAUCUCCACCAAUGAAGAUUCAUAACGAUAUGGGUGUCCAAGUUUAUUUAGAUAAAAAAAAUGCAAUUCUGAUUUCUUUUCAAAGUAACCAUUGUGUGUUACAUGUGUUGAUAGAGCAAUGGAAGCCAUUGAUUACCAAAUUGGUGUCCAAACAACAAAGCAAAAUAUUAUCAGAUCAACAAAGCCAUUGAUUAGUAUUUAUUAAUGGUUUUUAUUCUAGUAUUGAUAACUCAUCCAGUUCAGAAAGUUAGUUUUUUUACGGUAUAAAAUGUUCUUUUGGCGAAAAUUAGAUGUUAAAAUAGGUUCAUAUAUAUUUGUAUAUUUAAAGGUAUGUUUUAUAAUAAUUGUUGGUGUAAUGUUAUUUCAAUAGUUGGUACAAGUGUUUGUAUAUUGAAUGGUUGAUUAUUUGUUGAAAUAUGGUACAGAUUUGUAAUAUUUAUUGGCACAUAUUGAGUUAUAUCGUUAGAUUGAUACACAAUGUAUUCAUCUUAAGAACAUAAUUACUUAAGAAUUACUAUGUGGCAUUUAAUGGUAUAAGAUUACCUAUUAAUAUAAGAGUAAUUUUAUGUUACAACUUAAAUAUAUAUAUCAAAUUAUAUACCAACUUUAAAAAUGAUUGGAUAGUGAUUACUAAUUCGAAAUGUUAAGUAAGUAAUUCGAAAUGAUAAGUUACAAUUUAAAUAUAUCAAAUUGUGAAAGUUAGUUUUUUUAUGGUAUAAAAUAUUUUUUUAGCCCAAAUUAGAUGUUAAAACUUAAAAUAAUAAUUUCAUAUAUAUUGGUAAAUUUAAAGGUAUAUUUUAAAAUAAUUAUUAGUAUAACAUUAUUUCUAUAAUUGGUAUAAAUAUUUGUAUAUUAAAUGAUUGAAUAUUCAUUAAAAAUACAGUACAUAUUUGUGUUAUUUAUUGGUAUAUAUUGAGUUAUAUUGUUAACUUAACAUAUGGUGUAUUCUUAUAAACAAUAGAACUACUUUAAGAACAAGGUCAUACAUGGUAUAUACAUAUUAAUAUAAAAGUAGUGAUACUAUUUAUAAAAGUAUGUAGUGCCUAUUAAUACCAAUUGGUAAUGUUUUACCAUUUUGAACCACAACAGUUAUGAUUAAUAAUAAGAUCUAUUUAAAGAAGGAUUACAAAUUGAGAGACAACAAAAUUCAAUUUUCUGAUUGAUUAAAUAAAAAGUGAAGAGAGAGAGAAAGAAAAUCAUAAUUUUUAAAGAGAAGUAACUUAUCAGUUCCAAAAAAUCAGCAUAUUAAUUCCACAAGGAGAAAAAAAAUGGUAUAAUAUAUAUCUCGAUUUUUUUUUAAAAUUGUUAUGUUUAUAAUUAAAAAUCUUAUUUUAUAAAUAAAAUGGAAUAAAUACAUAUAUUGUUAAUUAAAGGUCUUAAACAAAAUAUUUGAUUUAAGGCUACAAUUAAUAAUUUAGUGUUAAGGCUACCCUUGAUAUUUUGAUAUGAUUGAAUAAAAAAUUAUGAGAGAGAAAAUCAGUAUAUGGGAAAAAAUAAUAAUAUAAAAGAGUAUAAUUAUGAUUGGAAAGUCAAAAUAAACAAGAAUUAUCAAUCCCAUAAAUUUAGCACAUAACCCCUCAAAAAAAGGAAAAGAAAUACGUAUACUACAAUAUAUAUAUAUAUAAAUAAAAAAUUGAAUAUUCUGUUAGGCUAGUAAUUAAAAACCUACUUUUGUAAAUAAAAAGGAGUAUAUACGUAUAUUGUUAAUUAAAGUCUUAAAUAGUAUAUUCUUGUAAUUUUUUCAUAUUGGUUUAAAAAAAGUUAAUUGUGGCCUUUUGGGUCACUUUCUUAUAUAUAUAACAAAGGAAAAAUACAUAUCUAGACAUACUUCACUAUCAUAUAUACAUAUUUUACCUCUAAUUUAAAAAUAUUACAUAUAAUACCACUUUUUAAUAAUUAUACCAUAUAUUUUAAAAAGUUAAAUUAGAUACACAAUCUCCUUAAAUAUGGUAUUUAAUAAUUAUCUUAAAACUGUAUCUCCUUUAUUAAUGGGACUUUAACAAUUCAUAUUACUUCCUCUAUCUUCACACCAUCAACCCACUCCCCCACAUUACUCACUGUUUCACAAUGCACACACAUCUACCAUUACCUCCUUCUUCCUCAACCAUUUCAAUACAUGUUUUUUUUCCCACACAUCUACCAUUACCCCCUUCUUCCUCAACCAUCUCAAUACAUGUUUGUAUGUACUAAAUUCAUAACCAAUUCUCUAUAAUCAACAUUAUAUAAAUAGGUAAAGUAAGAUUUUAUUAAGUUAUUAUGAGAUAUUGUAUUGUAACUCUGUUCUUACCAUGUUAAUGUAUCUGAUUCAAAACUCUAAUUCUUUUAAAGUACGAUUUUAGGGUUUUUACAUUGUUUGAAUCUAUUAGUUCUCCAUACUUUUUAAUGGAUGAAAAUUUACAUUAACUUUGUACAAUGAUUCAAAAGAAGGUCUCACCUUAAAGGUAACAAUACAAACAUUAUAUAUAUAAAUUUCAUAAUAUUGCAAGUAAAACAUUUUUAAGAUACAUCUUUCAUGUAUCUCGUUACGCUGGUCAUAAUGUAUCUAAAUUUAUCUUAAUUUACUGGAUACAAAUCCCAUAUUAAUAUCUAAAAUACAUGCAUAACGAAUCAUAUAUGCUACACAAAUCAUUACUUUUAGACAUAAGAUCGUUACCUUUAUCAAUGAUGUAUACAUUAUUUGUCCGAGAUACACAUUAUUUGUUCGAGAUACACAAUAUAAAAAUAUUACACAUUUUUUCAUGUAUCAUUACCACAUUAUUGUCGAAGAUACAUGCUUAACAAAAUAUACAUGAUAUAAAAUGAACAUUAAAUUAUUAAAAUGUUCAUAUACAUGCUUAGCAAUACACAAUGAAACCCAUAUAUACAUGUUUAGUUUGUUAAUUUCCCCUAAUUUACUCAUUUAAUUAAGCCAAUAAGUUACAACAUUUAAUUCAAAGUCUUAAAUCAUGUAUCUCUGUAUUUUAAACCUUAUGGAUACACGUAUCUGACGGAUCGAGAUACGCAUAUCUCACCACCAAAAAUGGUAUAGGAAGUAAUAUAAAAAACUAUAGAAAAUUCUAGUAAUUAGGAUCUAAAGUAGUGAGAUUUAUGUAGUUUACCCAUAUAACAAUUCUUAACAAACAUGACCCGACCCAAUCAAACUAGGCCCAAAUAAAAAACAACAUAAGCACGUCUAGUCUAAAAUCUGAAAAAGCAACUAAAUUAGAAUAGAAAACCGUAUCUUCUCCACAUUUGUGAUUUGUUCUCGGCAUUCAGAUCUCCAUGACUGAGUUGUUGAUCUUCUCUUCGAGGCCAUAUCGAUGUUUACUUCUACCUUGUUGUUGCUUCCAAAUGCACACACAAGUGUACGUGGUCACAUAAGUAAUAUAGUGACUCUUUAUGGAUCAAAUUAUUGAACCCAAAUGACUUACGAUUAGAUGAUAUUCAAUUUCACUAAUGAUUACAAAUUUAAUGCAAGUGCGUCAAGAAAGUUUGAUGGGUAUUUCUAAGCUAAUAAUUUCACAAUUUAAAGAACUUAAUUUACUAAUUAUGAUUCAAUUUCAUCCGGAGUCAAAACAAUGACUUCGGAAAUUCCAAGGCUACAACUUGACUAAGAAUUCCUCUCUAUGGACUUCGAGUGGUUAUCAAAUCACUAGUUUACAAGGUUAAUUAUAUGAUUACAUCUCCCGACCUCUAAUCAUCUACCACACCAUAAUUGACAGUCUAACUACCUCAUUGAGCGUUGAUAGACCAAAUCAACUGCGGAACACUAUAUUUUCAUCUCGUUUUGUAACCAGGCAUGGUAACUAGGUAUAUCCCUAUCCUAGAUACAAAUCAACACUAGUUUGUGUACUAGAAAAGAUCAUGCCUCUUAUGUUCCUUGUUCUAUCUCUCUAUUCCUCUGCCAAGUUCAAGACAUACAAUAAGUUUAUUCUAACGACGAUCAAGCAUUAAAAUAAUAAAUUUAAGAACACAAGAAUAAUUUGUAGUGAUAACCAAACUCAUUCCAUAUAUUCAAUACUACAGAAUCCUUCAUAGCCACAUCCCUAGAACAAAGGGAUUUAGCUACUCAUAAUUCGAUUUUCAAUAUUCCAAUGUUCAAUAAUCAUAAGAGAAUUCACAAGAUGAAAAAGAGUAGUAAUGAACACUAAUAUUGGAAGAGAAAGCCGUCCAAGUCUUGUCGUCCGAAAAUUAGAAAAAUAAUGCCUCAUAAUAAUAAAAAUGAGCCUACUUACAAAUUGGAAAAUCUAGCACGUCGAUCCGCGACAAAGAGUUGGUACAAACCAUCCUAUUUCCUCACCAAUGCCUUCUCCGCGACAAGGAGUCGAUAGGUACUCCACUGGUUCAAAAUCUUCUUGAGCCAACUUUUAAUUCCUAGCUCUAUGAGAUGGUGCCAAUACGAAGCUGGGUUUUUUCUCAUCAGCUCUUUCUUUCACUCUUUCGAGGCUUGCCUCUUUUGCUUCUUCACUUCCGUUUCAUCUCUAAUUCGUUUUUUUGUAAUUUUGUGCCCAUUUCAUGCGCUUUCCAUUCUACAAACUCCUAAUCACAUUGGUUAGUUGAAAUAUAUAAACAUGACUUAAACAUUAUCAAUAUAAUAGGAUUUUUCUCUCAAACUUAUCUAAAGUAUGAGUUUCAUUUGGCUUUUACACAUAUAAAUAUGUCCAAGAUCAGCAUCCCACACUUAUAGUUUUGUUCGACCUCGAACAAUUCCACACUAGACCUUAACUAAAGACUUGGCCACAAACAAGUGCUUUGGCUACAUAACUCUUAAGGCCCUUAUCACUUCUAAACCAAGCAUGUCAUAUGUUUAAUUCAAUCCAUGCAAAUAUAUUGAAACCUCAUGGCCUCAAUCAUUGUCUUAAGGACUUUUAGCAACUCAAACAUAGAGUUUCAUGCAACAUCACUUAUCCAUUGUCAAACAUGUACCCUUACCACAAAUAAUUGUCCACUUUUUAACUCAUUUUUACUGUAUGAAUUUCAAUAUCACAACAUAGAAAUACUAACUCUAAAAUUAAAUUCACAUGUUUCACACAAUGAAGUCAUAGGCUUGCUUUUAGUGUAUUGCUCCACUAAUUUAUUAUGCUAGACUAGAAACAAACACAACUUUGAUGGGUUAUAGUGUAGGCUAAGGGACGGGUAUGGAAACUAUAUAAUAGUGACUUACACUUCUCUAAGCAUGAUUUAAUGUCUCAAAUACACCUCAUACGAUUCUAGGUGUAGACGAUCAUUAUCUAGUAUAAAACCCACGAAGAGUCGGGGUCGAACCCACAGGGAGCGGUACGUGUUUUAAUUCAGCUACAAAGUUAUAAAGUGGUCUAAGCGGUUAUAGGAAUAGAAAUUAUCGAAAACAUACAAACAAGUCAAAGGGGGUGACAAUGAAUGUCAGAUGGGGGGUUUUGAUUUGCAAUUAACAGCUAAAACAAGUAUGAAAACAGAGGGAACAAUAAUAUUAAGAGGAAUUAUCGGGAUGUGAUCGAUUAUAAGCUAAUUAUGCUAUAUGGGUAAUUGAAAUUUAACAAUAAUUUGCUGAAACAUUGUGGGUAGGCUGGACUAUAAGUGCAAUAGUUUUCUCAGAAACAACUAUUACGAUUCAGGCAAUUUCUCUCGAACAUCGACAAGCUUGACAAGAUGAAAAACCCGCGAUCUUAAUAUAUCCACUCUCUCGAGCUAGAUAGGUAGGAUUGGGUUUAGGAUUCAGUCUCUCGAGCUAAACCCAUAUCAACCCAAUACCUGCAAUUAUUAAUCAAAUGCUUGAGUUCCAAAACUUCUCUCUCAACUCUUCAGAUCUUCCAAGGUCUUCUUUUGGACCAAGUUGAUGUACUGAUGCAUGAAAUUAUAAGUGCACCCCAUAACAACAUUGAUGUCAGAACUAUCGCACUUCACCUUCUUGCCUUGAACUAUCACAGAAUCAACCUGCCUGAAUAUGGUGGCCUUCUUCUUCCCUUUAGAGACCAGCUCACCGUAGGCUGAAUAAAACUCUCGGACCCAAUUGGGAAUGUAGGUGCCCCAGGGUUUGGUGAAAAUUUCAAACUUGUGGAACUUGAUAGUGUUCCACAUCUCCAGAUAUCUGUCCACCAUACUGUCGGUAGACAAUCUCUUUUCUUCCAGAAUGGUCCUUAAACCCUCUGCCUUUGGCCGAUUGAGUGACCGGGGAGGAGGACCCUGUACUGGUGGUGCUGGGACUACUUUCUUCUCUAUAGGAGGCACUGGAGCUGAAGUUGGAGGGGUAAGAGUCGGAGGCACCGAGAUUCUAGAGGAAACAUUUAGCGCCUUGAGGCUCUGCUCUGCUCUCCAGGCCUAUAUCAGUUGGUCAUCCUCAGGCUCAGAGAUGGAAGCCUGAGAAUCAUGAGAAUCCUCAUCACUGCCGAAAGUGGUGAGGUGUGUCUCGUAAACUCCCUCAUUAUCGGAGCUAGCCUUCGAUGUCUCAACCACGGGCGCCUUGCCCUUGCCUUUGCCUUUCCCUCCCUUGGUAGGAAGUUUUGAUGCCUUUUCUCGUGAUACAACUGCAUCCUCAUCUAUAGUGAUGCCUCAUGCUCGCUUCCGGGGUGACAUGUCUCUACUGGAAACUUUGGGUCUAGCCAUUCCUGUAAAACAAUGUAGAAACACUUAGAAAAAAUCAAGAAACACUUCAAAAAAUAACUGCAGGAAGACUCGCUGAAUCGGUCGGUGAGUCGUCGAACCAUUUUGGCGAGCCAUAUCAGGCUCACCGAAAGUUGCAACACAAAAAUUUCAAGAGUUCAAAGAUGGUCAGCGAUAUCCAGGGCCAUUCAACGGAUCACCGACACCAAUCGGUGAACUAGAAGUAGCUCGCCGAAAGUUACAAUGCAUUUUAAGGAAUUAGGGGAGACAAUAUAUUUUAAGGAAUUAGGGGCGCAGAAGGGCGUUCAAGAAGUACUUUCGGCGAGUCGCCAAGUGAACUCAGCGAUCUCACGCAUAUCGCCAAAAGUUACAAAACAAAAACUCAAACAUUUAGAGAAAUAAAAGGCUAUCCAGGGGAUGUUUGGCGAACCGCCAAAACAACUGGCGAGCUCGACCGAGCUCGCCAAAAAGUCCUUCGUGCCAGUUUUCACCCCAAUCUUUGAAAUCAAACCUGCAUCCCACGAAACCAAUAUUAAACACUUGCAAUAUGAAAUUAAAGCAAGAACCAUACUACCCAUGCCCUCGGUCUACUCAGACUUCCCCCAAUUUGGCCAAAAUUGGCAAAUUGACGUCUUUUGCCCUUAAGAAUGACGUCAACCACUCCAUAAUUUGGAAAAAUAUGACAUUUAGCACAGUCCGAGGUUACUCAGACUUCAUUCUGCUAGGCCCAACACAGUUUCAACACAACCCAACAAUUUUGACUCAAUUUCAACAAUCAAAGACACAUGAAUCAUGAUUAAAGGCCGAUUAAAAAUGAUUUCACUUAAAAUUAGGCAAACAAAAACGCACACGAUGAUUACCCAAUGAUAUUCAAUAACAAAAUACCAUUUUCAUUCAAGUUCAACCAUAUAUAGAGUUUGGGACUCGGAAAACCAACCUUUUAUGUCGAAAUGAGAUUUGUAAAGCUAGGCAACAGAGUAAAUCCAAAUUCUAUCUCGAGCAAUGGUCCUGAUAAAAUGAUAGUAAAGGAGCAAAAAUAUUGAAAACUAAUAUCGGUGAGAGAGUACGGGAAUUGAAAAGGUGAGAAAAUGAAGGAUUUUUUAAUUCAAAACCAUUUGUCCCAUUUUAAAACCUUUGAGUUCGCGCGCCCAUCGGCGGUAUAAGUCGGGCUCACCGAUCCACUCGGCGAUGCGCCGAGUGGUAAUUUGGCUCGCCUAGUUUUAUAGAACUCCCAACAAUUUGGAGGUUCAAACGGCGGACAAAGUCGGGCUCACCGACCUGUUCAACGAGUCGCCGACUGAUCCUUUGGCUCACUGAGUUUUACAGAGUUCCUUAUCAAGCUUGGUGGUUCCAACGGCGGUCCAACUCGGGCUCGCCGACCUCUUCGGUGAGCGGCCGACUAGACUUUUGGCUCUCCUAAUUGCCCAUUUUCCAACACUUUUCACUUUUCAACCUGCAAAAUUAACACCCAUUAUUCAAAAUCAACAUUUAAAACAUCAAAAACUUGGGUUGGCUCCCAAGAAGCGCCUUAUUUAAGGUCGUGGCACGACAGAAAUACCAAUUCAAAUUUCAUUUUUGGGGUUGGAUGUUGUGUUACUAGGCAACUCCCUUUUUGCCGUGUAUUCAAUUGAGUCGAGAUUUGACCCAUUUGUGUCUCCAGCUAUUUAAUAGAGACUGAAUGAGAAGUCACUAUUUGAUUGAGAGUUGAGACAUCCUCCUUCAUCUCUUUCAACACUUUGUCCGACCUUUCUACCUUAUUGAGAAUGCGUGCAAACAUGUCUUCCGUACGGAUGUUCUCCGGGUCUGCUCUAUGCUCUUUAGGAUUUUGGCAUUCAUAAGGUGGGACGUAUCUUUCCUUUUCACCAUCCCUUUCCUUCCAAGUAGCAUUACGAUUACGCCAUUCCCUGUCAUGAUCUCUCCAUCUAUCAUCUCUAUUCCAGCCCGAAUUUCCACCUGGCCUUGGGUAAUUUGAACGAAAUCCUCCUCCUUGAUUUGCAAAUAAGUUCACUUCCUCAUUGUACAACGCUUCAAAUUGUGCUUCCUCGGGGUUUACUCCACCAACACCCACAACAUUUACACUCUUUAACCCUCUUCAAUUCAGAUGAGGGGUUUUGAUUUGUAAUUAACAGCUAAAACAAGUAUGAAAACAUGGGAAACAACAAUAUUAAGAGGAAUUCUUGGGAUAUGAUCAAUUAUAAGCUAAUUAUGCUAUAUGGGUAAUUGAAAUUUAACAAUAAUUUGCUGAAACAUUGUGGGUAGGCUGGACUAUAAGUGCUAUAAUUUUGUCUCGAACAACUAUUAUGAUACAAGCGAUUUCUCUCGAACAUCGAUAAGCUUGACAAGAUGAACAACCCACGAUCUUAAUAUAUCCACUCUCUUGAGCUAGAUAGGUAGGAUUGGGUUUAGGAUUCAAUCUCUCGAGAUAAACCCAUAUCAACCCAGUACCUGCAAUUAUUAAACAAAAGCUUUGGUUCCAAAAUUUUUCUCUCAAGCAAGCUAAGAACUCUAUGCUAGAAUUGCAUUUGCAACUACAAAUCAUAGAUUAAAACACAACUAAUGAUUAAACCCACAUUAAAAUAACAAUUUCAUCAUUAAACAACAAUACCCAUAAGAUAAUUAGACAAAUAAAUAUAUGAUCACACCCUAAGAAUUGGGGUUUUAGCUACACAUCAUAAAAAGAGAAAAAUGAUUACCAAAUACAUUAGCCAUGAUCUGGGUAAAGGUUCUCAAGUCUUUAUAACGGUCCAAAUUGAAUAAAUUCAGAAAUGCACUUGCAAAUCCUCAAAAUUAAGCUUAGAAAUCCUCAAAGUCUACAAUGGAAAACUAUAAAACUAAGAGAAAACUCUAAAUCUCAAAGGGAACUGGAACUCCCUCAAAUUUCAUUUAAAAUUCAAAUUUAUAGUUUCCCAAUAUUUGGCCUAAAAGGCCAUUGGGAGAAUAAGUCGGGCCUUGCCGAACAGGUCGGUGAUCCUCCUUUUGCUCCAAUCCAUCGCUGGUUUGCAUUGGCCAUUUGUCCUCAGGGUUAUGUGACUUUAGGAGAUCAAGGUUGCCAUCACGGAGUCAAUCGCUGAUUCGCCGACUACCCAUUUCUGUCACCAAGUUGGUUCUUCCCUACGGCUGGCACGGUCGAACUUUGGGUGGGCUAAAGAGCCACUCGGCGGUUGGUCGAGUGAUCUUGGCGAUCAGCAGGAUCGCUUUUCUUCACUUCUUCAGCUUGUUUGCUUCUGUUGGCCUGGUAGUGUGAUGAAUCCAUGAUUUGGACUCUUAUAGGGCUUUAUUUUGAUAGAUUUAGUGUCCUCCAGUGCAUAUUUCAUCUCAAUAACUGAUGAAAAUCUUUGAGUUUCAGGUAUUUGGAGUUAGAGACAAAGCAUAGACACUAUUGGGCAGAAAGGAACAAGGCAACUAAAAAGAACGAAGAAAAGAUGACCUGUGGAUCGCCUAAACCAUUAGGUGAGUCGCCGAAUGGCUAUGGUCUCGCCUAAUGUUCCAGUGUGCUAAGCUUUGAAGGAGAAAAUUGAGUCGGCGAGAUAAAGGAGCAGUCGGUGAAUCACCGAACAAUUCCGCGAUGCAGUACUCCAUCGCUCAAUGUUACAGAACUUGAAUUUGCUGAAGGCCAAUGCAGAAAUGCAAUGAACCAGACCAAAGGGUGGAUCACCGAGUGGAUCAACGAUCCCGACUAACUGCGUCGAUUUGUCCUUCACAACACACUUUUUGACAACUAUAAAUACUUGUUUGAAUUUUUAGUUUAGUAUGCAAUCUAUAGCGAAUUUUUAGAAUAUCAAACAUUAUUCUCAGUUUUUAGAACUUAGUUUUAGAGACUUUGUUCCUUAGCUUUUGAAGAUUUGAAGAUUCCCAUUCCUAAGCAAUUGGAAGUGGGUAUUGAAGACUCUUCAUUUUAGACAUGUGUAAAGACAUUAUCUAUCGUACCCACUUAAUAAAAACACUUUUUGGUAUCGAUUUGUAUCUUUUUACUAUGCCAAGCUAAAACCCCAAUUUUGGGGUGUGAUUAUGUGAAUAUGGGUUGAAUUUACUGUUGGGUAUUGCUAAUUGAUAGUUAAUUUGCUAUUUAAAGGUGAUUUUGUUCAGUAGUUGAGUUUGAAUUUAAUAGGAUUGUAGUUGCAAAUACAAUUUUAUCUUCGUGUUUUUUGCUUGCUCGAGAGAGAUGUUUUAAAACCAAAACUAUUGAAUCUAUAGUCGAUGGUUAUUGGGUUGUCGUGGGUUCAGCUCAAGAGAGUGAAUCCUAAACCCUCUCCCACACAUUCAGCUCAAGAGAGUAAAUGGACUAAAGCGAAGGCUGUGCUAAAUUGCUGCUUAUCGGUGUUCGAGAGAAACCGAUUUGAUUCGGAGUAAAUUGCUCGAGAGAAAAUUUAUCCCCACUAAAGUCUAGCUUAGUUACCAAUUUACAGCGAUUUACUAUCAAUAACAUUUACCCGGUUGUUUAUUUUAGCCCAUAAUCCUAUCACAUCCCAAGAAUCCCGUCUCCAUAUUCGUAUUUCUAUAUUUUUGCUGUUUUGAGUUGCUAAUUUGACUACAAAUCCCUCUUGAUAAUUGCCACUUGUGUCACCCUUUAAUUUGAUAUGUUUUUCUUCGCAUAUGUCUUUAGCUAUAAUUGACUUAACGAAGUUCUUGCUUUCCUAUUAAUUCUCAAUUACAAACUCCUCCCUUCGGACUCAACCCCAACUCACUAGUUGGGUUAUAUUACUAUUGAAUGAUCAUUGUUGCUUAGUAUUGGAUGAAGCGUCACUGAUACGUCAAAUCAAAAUGGCGCCGUUGCCGGGGAUUUGUGUUAGUUGAGAAUUUUUUGUUAAGUUGAAUUUUUUUCUUUAUAGUUAUAGACUUAUAGUGAUUGAUGAGUCCACAAACUGGACUGAUUUAUGGCUUUAUUUUAAUAGAAAUAGUGUACUCAAAUGCUUAUUUAGUCUAAAUAUUUGAUGAAAACACUUAAGUUUCACGUAUUUGAAUUUUAGUGGAAGCAUGAACACUUAGGCGCAAAAAAAUCUGAAAAGAACGAAGAAGCUGAAGUCUGAGCAUCGCCAAGCAUGCUUGGCGAUUCGCCGAAGGGACGCACUCCGCCCUUUGUUCCAGUAACCGAAGCCCUGAAGGAGAAAGAUAAAAAAGGCGAUGAAAGGAGUAAUUGGCGUUUUGCCAAUUAGUUUUGCAAAGUAGAAGUAUACCGCCCAAUGAUCCAGAAUGCACAGAUGCUAAAGUCAAAGCACAAACGGCGAUGAACUAGAAGAAGGGAGAAUCGCUGAGUCAUUCGGCAUUCGUGACUAACCUCACCGAGCAAUCCGCCAGUACUAUUUGCUGAAGUAUAUAAAUACUAAACUCUUUACUAGUUUUGAGGGAGGGAGAGCAGAGUCUGAACAUUAUUGUAAUUUUCACUUUAAAUUACAUAUUUUCUCUCAAGUUUAGAGAGGGUUUUGUGGGAGACUUGAAGAAAGGAGUUCAUCUUCCCCAAAUUGGAAGUGGGUCUUCUCUAUUCUUCUUUCUUUGCUUAAAUCAAGGUUUAAUUUCUUAUACCCAUUUGAUCUCUCUAUCAUUUUAGGUAUAAUGUCUUAUUUCUUGUUGUGUGGCUAAAAUCCCCCAUUCUUAGGGUGUGAUAUAGCAAAUAUGUGUUGAUAUUAUUGUUGGGUUUUGCUUGCUGAUAGGUUAGAUGUAUUUUAAUGGUGAUUUCACCUAGUGGUUGUGGUUUUAUUUAAUGGGUUUGUAGUUGCAAAUACAAAACCACCUAUGUGUUGUCGGCUUGUUCGAGAGAGAGGUUGCGAAACCAUGACCGCUAGACUGAUGGCCUAAGGAGUGGGUCGACAUGAGGUUUAGCUCGAGAGGGUGAGCCCUAGUCCUAUAUCCUUACACUCAGCUCGAGAGAGUGAGUGGAGUAAGGCGUAGGCUGGCCUUCAUGCGGCAAAUGGGUGUCCAAGAGGAACCCAUUUGAAACGGGUAAGUUGCCCGAGAGGGAACUUAUUUCCAUCUAAAGCUUAGCCUAGUCACUGUUAUCUUGCUAAUUUCCUAUCGAAAGCAUGUACCCAACAAUUUAUAUCAAUAUAUAUAUCGCUCACAUCCCAAGAAUCUCUCCCCAUACUUGAUUUCCUUUAUACUUUACUGUUUUUAUUUGAUCUCGUGACAAAACUCCCUAUUGUUAAGUGACACUCUUGUGUUCCCCUUUAACUUACAAUGUUUUUAAUCGUUAAAAUCUUUAGCUACGAUUAGCUUUAGCACAUUUGCGCUUAACCACUAAUUUUCACGCCCACUCCCUUGCGACUCGACCCCAACCCUUGGUUGGGUUAUUAUACUAUUACAUGAUCGUAGACACUUGCAUCAGAAGUUGUGUCGUUGAUUACUCAAAUAUCAAAAUGGCGCCGCUGGUGGGGAGUGGUGUUACGUGAAGAUGUAGUUAGUUAGAGAUUUUAAUAUUUUUUAUUAUAGUUGUCACUGAUUUAAUUUUUAUUCUUUUUUGCGUGUUUGUGUAUUGACAUAGAGGAACGAAAAAUGGAAAACCACUACGACUUCACACGGAUCAUCCCCUCUUGAAACCGCUGAACCUCAGGGACAACCUCCUGACCUUUAAGCAAGUAUGGGAUGAAACUCUUGAAGAAAUGUGGUUAAAAUUUCAAACAAUACUAAGUCCAUGCCCGUCUCAUGGGAUGACUGACAAAGCGUUACUGGAAUGCUUCUAUAGAAGUUUGGGACCUGAAAAUAGAAGUAACACGAAUCAACUGUUCGCAGGUGGUGUGCUAUGUCAACCCUAUGAGGUCGUAGCAAAAACCCUUGAUGGCAUGGUUGAAGCCAACAAGGAGACAAAGAAACAAAAAGAGUGGAAUACACUGAUUACUAAGUUGGAUGUUUUGUCCAACCGAGUUUUGGCAUUGGAAGCGCAAGCCGUAGAAAGGGAGAAACAUGUCACCCUCCAAGAGUGCCGAAAUGGGAAGAAACAUGGAAGUGAACGAGAUGAUGAGGUCCUUUCCCUCAUUCAACAAAAGAUUACCGAACAAAACAAGAGGUUGAAUGAGAUGAAAGAUAACAUGGAAAUGCUAAAUGAGGUUUCCACCUCAAACUCCAUGACUAACCAGCUGCAGGAUGCUCAAAUUUAGCAUUUGAUGACAGGUCGCUAUCAACCGUUCGCCGAGGACUCACCCAGCUACACCAUGGGCGACUCUAAGGAUGAGGAAUACAAGGCUGACUUGUAUCGUGCCACGACGUUAAUCUAAGGCGCUGCUUCGGAGGCAACCCAAACCCUUUUUAAUUGAUUUUAUUCCUUGGUGAAAUAAUGGUGUGAUGCUUGUAUAGAUUGAAGUUAGGGAAAUGUUUGAAAAGGUGUAUGAAGGCGAGCAAAUAAUCCAAUUGGCGUGCCGCCGGCUUAUUCGGCGACCUCGAUCUUUUCCGCCAUCUGACUCUGUGUUUGCUCGAAAAACACCAUCAUCUUGGAUCCUGUAAAAAUCGGUGGUCGAUAAGUAAUGAGAGGCGUGUCGCCAACCAUGUCGGUGACCUCGAUGUAGACCGCCGUUAGGAUUCUCACAUGAGAUGCAGGUCCUAUUUCAUUAGGCGAAGUUAGUAAUUACUUGGCGCUUCGCCGAGUGAUUGAGCGAGCCUGACUCACAUCGCCGAAUGGGUGGUAACUGAACAGUUUUUGCAAGCCACAUGUUUAAAAGUACUACUUCAUUCAUUUCCUCUCACUUUUUCAUCCUAUCAAACUCACACCUGCACUUUAGCUUUAUAUUUCUUGCAAUUCUAAAGUAUUAUAACUGUCGAAUUGUGCGCGGAUUUGGAUCGCAUUGCUGCCUAGCAUGUCAGUACAAUCUAAUUCAGCACCAAAGGUUGAUAAUCAAACCCCUCAGUUAUUUUAUCAAAAUGAGUACUUAUUUGCAUAAUGAUUGAUAGUAUAAAAUCUCUGCUGAGUCUCCGAGUUACUGGGAUUGCAUGUAUUAUGGAUUAUGAUUCAGUAGCUUUCGCGUGAUUUGAGGGACUCCCAUUCGACUGUGUUUUGAGUUGAAUUUUUUUUUUUCGCUGGGGAAAAUGUGAAACUCCUAUGGGUUUUCGUUGAAAUUGUGUUAUUUAAGCCUAAAUUGCAUUAUCUGGUUUGCGGGGUGAAAUUUGAAAGAAAUAGGUUAAAAAAUAGACACGUUUGGCCAGAUGAACAAAACUCACCGAAUUGCUCGGCGGUUCGCCUAAUGUCCUCAUUUCGCCUUUGAUCGAUUGAUCUAUGGCUUUCGACGGUCAGCCUAAAUUGCAAAUUGCACUCGACGACUCGCCCAAAGACCCUUUGUCUGCGCCCUUGUAUCAUUCGUACAUCAUUUUCAACGAAUAUCAUAGCUAGAUAAACACUUCACCAACUAGUUUGGCAAAGCAAUUUUGCACUUGGAACCCUCCCUUCUCCUGUUUAAAUUAUUGUCUAACUUGUAUUCGAUGUUUUUGCAAAAAUGGCUAGACCAAAAGUUGCAGGGAGAAAUGAACCACCCCGGAAUGUAAGAGCACGUGAGUUUAAAUAAGAUGAAAAGAAAGCAGAGCUAGCCAGACAAAGGAAAUAUACCAAGGAAGCUAGGGUCAGAAGGAGGAUUCCUAUUGAUCCCACCAUUCCUCCGUGGAGACGCAAAUUUUACACAAUAAUAGAUUCCUUUUUGGUGGCUCAUGAUGUGGAUAGAAUGGGUGAGGCUAACAUCACUGCGGAAGCUAAGGACAAUGAAUACAAUGCGAACCAGAUUGAAAACACUUCGGGAGCUAUUGUUUUAUAUCAAGCUGAUUCAUCAAACACCAAUGCACAGGCAGAUGAAGCGAAUGCAUAAUCAAGACCCCUCUUGACCUUCCGCUCUGAGUUUCUUUAUUUUUACUGCUAAAUACUUUAUCACUUGCGUUUGAGGACAAACACUUUUCUGUGGUGGGGUGAGGCCCACACCUUUGAUAUUGUUUCAAAUGUUGUUUUUCGUCUAUACUUGGGUUGUCUGUUUGAUAUUGGGUUGUUUUUUUUGCGAUUGUUUGAGCUUAGGGCUCUCUUUUGGGUUUAAUUGAAAAAUUAUUUUGUUUUACCCUUUCGACAAAUUUUCAUUUUUUGAAAAUUUUCGCCACCUCUUUCGUUGAAAGUGGCUGUUCUGGUACAAAUUUGAGUCUCGGUUUCGAUCAAUAUCGAUGACUUGAAUGGUGCUCUCAAUUGAACAAUCAUGAACGUGUGGCCGCGACGAGACCAAAUGAAGUUGCAUAGACAAUAUGUGAACUCUUUGCAUCUCGUUGUGAUUAGCCAUUUAUCGAAUUGAUUAUCUUGUAAUGACCAUUGCACACUACUGAAAGUGUGUGGUUUUGUUUGACUUAAGUAUCAAUGCCUUGUGUGAUGAGCUUACUUUGAACCUUGUAUGAAUAAACCUAAAAUUUGCCCCGUUAGUCUGAUUGAUUUAGUAAGGUGUGCUCUUGAAAUGAUCUUAGGCAACUUUUGAAGAGUGUGAGCCAAAUAUGACAUAUACGCGUGUGGAACUCUCUUGAACAUUACCUUUCUUUGGAAGAACCUUGAUAAACCCUAGACCUUACUUGACCCACUACGUAUAAUCCUCUUGAUUUGUGGUUUAGUGAAUAGCCAACUUAGGCCAAAAGCCUAAGUUGGGGGUAUUGUGAAAAGGAAAAGGAGAAGUCAAGAAGUGCAAGAAAAGUCUCCCUUAACCCAUGGUGUUGCGGAACAAUGAAAAACCUCUAUAAAAAAAAGUUGUGGAAUAAAAGUACAAAAGAAAUUGGGUUUCCAAGCAAUCCAUGGAGGUAAAUAAAAAAAUGACUUAGAAGCACUAGAAAAAGAAUUGAUAAAGAAAAAGAAGGGGAUGCCUUGAGAAUACCACAUCUCAUGAGUAAAAAGUCACUAAGCCUAAAUGACCAUACCAUUGCACUCAGCCCCAUUACAAGACUUAGAAAGACCUUUUUGAUCUUGAGUGAGCCGAACCAAAGAUCGAUUGGAAAAUAAGGGCAAGCCUAUGGGUGAAAACAUGCAUUGUGUUCCUCUUUUUGAGUGUGAGCGUUGCAUCUGAUUCCUGAUCUUGAAUUGAUUAACCUGUGUGUGUGAAUAAUGGAAUCAUUCUUUAUGUGAGGGCAUUUAAAAUGCUUUUUGUUGAGCUUGAACUUGAACAAGUAGCAAAGUAUUUCGAGCAUGAGAAUCUUUGGUAAUGGUGUGUCACAACUUGAAUCUUUGAGUACACAAUUGAUCUUUGCAUGAGUAAUUUGAGUCUUGUUGUAUAUGUUCAUGAUUUAGUGUUGUGUAGCACUAUUUGAGACAUCCUAUUUGAACUGCUGAACUUGAGUUUCACUCGAGGACAAGCAAAAGUUUAAGUUGGGGUGUUGAUGAGUCCACAAACAUGGACUCAUUUAGGGCUUUAUUUUUAUAGAAAUAGUGUCCUCAAAUGCUUAUUUAGUCUAAAUAUCUGAUGAAAACACUUAAGUUUCAGGUAUUUAAAGUUUUAGUGGAAGCAUGGACACUUAGGCGCAAAAAAGGAACAAAAAGGCUGAAAAGAACGAAGAAGCUGAAGCCUGAGCAUCGCCAAACAUGCUUGGCGAUUUGCCGAAGGGAUGCACUCCGCCCUUUGUUCCAGUGCGCGAAUCAUUGAUGGAGAAGGAUCAAAAAGGCGAUGAAAGGAGCAAUCGACAUUUCGCCGAUCAGUACUGCGAAGCAGAAGUAUACCGCCCAAUGAUCCAGAACGCACAGAUGCUAAAGGCAAAGCACAAAUGACGAUGAACUAGAAGAAGGGUGAAUCGCCGAGUCAUUCGGCGUUCGUGACUAACCUCACCGAGCGAUCCGCCAACACUAUUUACUGAAGUCUAUAAAUACUAAACUCUUUACUAGUUUUGAGGGAGGGAGAGCAGAGUCUGAACAUUAUUGUAAUUUUCACUUUAGCUUUCAUAUUUUCUCUCAAGUUUGGAAAGAGUUUUGUGGGAAACUUAAAGAAAGGAGUUCAUCUUCUCCAAAUUGGAAGUGGGUCUUCUCUAUUCUUCUUCCUUUGCUUAAAUGAAGGUUUAAUUUCUUAUAACCAUUUGAUCUCUCUAGCAUUUUAGGUAUAAUGUCUUAUUUCUUGAUGUGUGGCUAAAAACCACCAUUCUUGGGGUGUGAUUUAGCAAAUAUGUGUUGAUAUUAUUGUUGGGUCUUGCUUGCCGAUAGGUUAGAUGUAUUUUAAUGGUGAUUUCACCUAGUGGUUGUGGUGUAAUUUAAUGGGUUUGUAGUUGAAAAUACAAAACCACUUAUGUGUUUUUGGAUUUCUCGAGAGAGAGGUCGCGAAACCAAAACCGCUAGAUUGAUGGCCUGAAGAGUGGGUGUACAUGAGGUUCAGCCCGAGAGGGUGAGCCCUAGUCCCAUAUCCUAACACUCAGAUCGAGAGAGUGAGUGGGUUAAGGUGUAGGCUAGCCUUCAUGCGGCAAAUGGGUGUUCGAGAGGAGUCCAUUUGAAACGGGGUAAGUUGCCCGAGAGUGAACUUAUUUCCACCUAAAGCUUAGCCUAGUCACUGUUAUCUUACAAAUUUCCUAUCGAAAGUAUGUACCCAACAAUUUAUAUCAAUAUAUAUAGCGGUCACAUCCCAAAAAUCUCUCCCCAUACUUGAUUUCCUUUAUACUUUACUGUUUUUAUUUGAUCUCAUGACAAAACCCCCUAUUGUUCAGUGACACUCUUGUGUUUCCCUUUAACUUACAAUGUUUUUAAUCGUUAAAUUUUUGAGCUACGAUUGGCUUUAGCACAUUUGUGCUUUACCAAUAAUUUUCACUCCCACUCCUUUAGGACUCGACCCUAACCCUUGGUUGGGUUAUUAUACUAUUGCACGAUCGUAGACACUUGCAUCGGAAGUUGUGUCUCGGAUUACGCAAACGUCAGUGAUGCUUACUAAAUUUUUAGUGUUAAUCUUUGUGUCGCUGUUUUGAGUAGGAAAUUGGAACAUGUCUGGCAGAAAUGGUGACCAAAUGGACCUCUCUCUUUUGAGGAUGAUGUCUCUUAGGGAUAACAUCCUAAGUUUUAGACAAUUGGAGGGGGAGUCCAUCCAUGAAUUGUGGAUGAGAUUUAAGACACACUUCCUGCAAUGCCCCGCUCAUGUAAUCUUAGAAAGUGUGCUGUUGGACUGUUUCUAGAAAAGUCACUGCCAUAAAAAAAAAGAAUGUCUGACCAAAUAUUUCCUAGGGGUCUCUCACGACUACCCUAUGCAAUAGCAGCCCAGAUCCUUGAUCACAUGGCCAUGACCAACAAGGAGAUUGAGAAAGACCAUAUUUUGGCCACACUGUUGACUCAGCUGGAUCUAGUGACCAAGAAGAUCAUGUAAUCGGAAGCACUAGAUAAAAGGAAGGACCUGCACAUUCCCCCUCAUGAACGUAUAAAGCCCAAUGCGAAUGAGGGUGGACAAAUAGAUGAGAUCACUCAUUCUCCACAAAGUCAAAAGUCACGAUAAGAUGUUGAAUGAGAUAAAUGAGAAUGUCUUACUGCUGAAUGAGAUAACUGCUUCCCAAUUCAUAUUUGUUCAGCUACUGGAGACCCAAAUAGGUCAUGUGUUGUCUCGUCUCUACCCCACAAAUCAAAAUUAAAUGGGGAAGUCAUGCCACGACGUUCAAUAAGGCGCUUCUUGGGAGACAACCUAAGGUUUUUUUCUUUAAAUUGUUAUUUUAUAAUAAUGGUGUGUUAAUUGUGUAGGUUAAAGUGUGGGAAAUGUUUGAAAAGUGCAGAUUGGCGAGCUAAAGUCCAGUCGGCAAAAUGCCAAAGAGGUUGGCGACCCCGACCUUGACCUACCGUUGGACUCAAGACAAAUUCAAAUAGGAGUCUGUAAAAUUCGGCGAGCCUAGGAAAUUAUUGGCGAGUCGCCGACCAGGUCAGAGAUCUCGAUCUAGUUCGCCGUUUGGAUCCUCACUAUAACUGGAGGUCCUAUAAAACUCGGCGAGGUAAGUGGUCACUCGGUGUGUCGCCAAGUGGUUCGGCGAGCACGACUAACGUCACCGAAUGGGGGAGAACUGGACGGUUUAUUAAAAGGCCAAAGGUUUAAAAUUUCAAACUCUUUCAUUUUACCUCAUUUUACAUCUUUCCAAACUCGCACCUACUUAGCAUUUUCAAUAUUUCUGCAUUCUAUAAGUAUUUCAGUUGUCGGAUUUGUGUUCGGAGUGGAUUACAUUGCUGCCUAGCUUUUCAGCCCUUAUUAUUCAGCAUUUGAGGUUGGUUUUCCUAAUCCUGCAUUUAUUUUUAGUAAUUUGUACUCUUAUGCAAGCAAUAUUAUGUUGAUGAUGUCUGCUGGGCCUCUUUGAUAGGAUUAGAAUGUUUGAAUGCAUGUUUGUAAUUCGAUAAUCCUGUCCGUAAUGUUUUCAAUGUUAAAUUCUAGUCUUUUUGUGCUCUAAAAUGAAGUAAAUUUUGUGGGGUUGUGUUUGCAUAUUAUUUGGCUUGGUUGGGUGAAGUCUCAGUAGCCCAUAUUUGUUCCAAACGAUGUAAUUUUCCUAAUGAUAGAGCGGGUGACUUCGUUUUUAAGGGCAAAUGUCGUCAAUUGGUCAAAUUUAGCAAAACCGAGAGAAGUCUGAGUAUCCCGGGGCAAUGGGUGUUACGGGUCUUCUUUGAAUUUGAGUUGGGCAUGGUUUGAUUUUUUUUUUGGAAGUUGCGGGGUUGUAUUCGAGAAGUUGGGUUGAAAAUAGGCACGUUGGGUCAUUUGGUGAGCUGGGUCGAGCUCGUUAAACGACUCGGUGGUUUUCCUAAUUUCCCCAUCUCGCCUUUAAUUUCAUGCUUUAUGGGUUGUUGUGUUCUGUAACUUUUGGCUAGAAGCCUGAGGUCGCCGAAGGCACUCGGCGACUCCCCGAAGGCCUUCUUGAUCGCCCUUUGUCUGCACCCCUGAAACCUUUUUGCACUUUAACUUUCGGCGAGCUAAUUAUUACUAACCGAAAGUUAUUGGCAAUUCGCCGAAAGACCCUUCCCUUUAACGACUUGCCUAGAAUUUUGAGCCAAUCCUUUUGGCGAGCCCGACCUCGCUAGCUAAAGCGAUUCGGCGAGUCACAGAUUGGUUCAGUAAGUCUUUCUGCAACUGUUUUUCUAUAAAUUUGACCAAGUUAUUUUUAACUUUUUCUUGAUGUUUUGCAGGAAUGACGAGGAAAAACAUAGACAUGCCACCCUGUAAAAGAGUACAGUGUAUCACUAUCAAUGAAGGGGGAUCAAAUCCUUCAUAAAGAGGAAGGCAAGAACCUACACUAGGUGACAAAGGAAAAGGAAAGAGACCCAGGUCUGACAGGGCUACUACUGGCUCCCAGGCAUCUCUAUUUGAACCUGAUGAUGACCAACUUCUACAGUCCCGGCGGUUUGAGCUCCGAGAUAGAUCUCACACCACGUCCAACAAAGUCCCUCCUACAUCCACACCAGCAGAAUCAGUGCCAACUCCGGCACCUCCUGUGGCUCCUGUGCCUCCAGUUGUUCCUCCAUCUAGACUCCUCAAUAGGUUGAAAGGAGAUAGUUUGCGAAUUAACCUCGAGGAAAAGCUACUAUCUACAUAUGGUCUGGAGGGCAAGUACUCCAGUGUAGCAGAACUAUUACAGUUGCACCAGUUCCAUAUUUUUACCAGGCCCCGAGGUCCAUUUAUUCCUACAUGGGUCCGUGAGUUCUAUACAACAUAUGGUGAACUAGUGCCGAAGAGGAAAAAGAAGGCCAGCGAGUUCAGACCGGUUAAGUUGGUCACUGUUUGAGGUGUAGAAGUGAGCUGCAGUGAGGAGUACAUUAAUGAUGUAUUAGAUAGGCCUCUAGAGUCUUCACUCUCAUAUGAAGGUGUGCCUACGACACAAACUCUGGAGGAUCUAAAGGGUUGGCUUUACCCCUUAUUUCUGAUACCAUUCCUAGGUGGAUUGAGGCGGGAGUCGAGAUCGAAAAAAGGAUUUGAAUAUAGCUGCCCGCUGUUGGUUCAGAUUCAUCAGUAGUUCACUUAUGCCUUCACAGAACGAAUCUAUCCUCCGACAUGCAAAAGCAGCCUGCUUGUGCUCUAUCUUAUCAAAGACGCAGCUCAACUUGAGCCUUAUUAUAGAACAGGAGAUGGCCAUGAGAGCUAAGCAGAAACAAACCUCUUUUCUCUUCCCAGUACUGAUCACAGAGCUGUGCCAGCAUGCUGUUGUGCCCCGAGAUGUUGUUAGCGAUUUUGAUGUUACCCCGUCCUCCUCCAAUGACAUCCGGCGCAUUGAGGCUGAGUAUACUAGAGAGGAGGCUGACAGGAGAAGGAUAGCUCUAGUGGAUACAUCCUCGAAGGUGGACGUUGAUUCAAUACCUACAGAGGCAUCUUUGCCUACUCCAACCUUCGGGUCUUCAGGUACUUCUAUCCCUUCCUCUUCUUCAUAGACUCUAGGCAUACCCUCUUCCUCCCAGCCGACCAAGAUUACUCAGGUGAUGAUCCUGAGGAUAGGGCAUCUGGCCCAUUCAACUGAGGUGAGGGCGGCCUGAUUAGAGAGGUCUGUCCCCUUGAUGAUUGAGGUUGCGAUCCUAGCUGCACUGACCCCCUGCAGACUUCUAUUGACACUUUCACUAUGAGGGUUGAAGCUUGUGAGAGCAGGUAUAGGGAGACCUCAGAGAUUUUGUCUUUGAAAGCCAAGGUAGCAGACCUGAUGAAGGACGUAGACUAUUUGAAGUCUACCGACUUCACUUUAUUACUAGAGGCUGGAGAUGAUUCGGAUGCUCCUAAGACUUUAGAGAUCCCGCCGGCUACUGCCGGAGAUGUACCCAGGGAUGUUGAUGAGUUAGAUGCUAAGACUGAUGAGGAGCAAAUAUCGAUAUGGGAGGAGAGCAUAUAUAGAGACCUACCGGAUCUUGGGGAGACGAUCAUCCAGUCGGUGAUCCAUACAUCACAGAUCGAGACUUCUAUGGAAGCUCAUAGUGGAUGUGGUACUGCUGUUUCUUCUGAGGCGACUCCGGGCAGUGAUGCCCAAGUCCAGACUGAUCCACCGGGCACUGAUGUUCAGACAGAUGGAGCGACUGCUUAGAUAGGAUCCUCUCUUUACCUCCCUCUCUGUCUUACUUUUAUUUUGACUUGUGGAUAUUAUAUUUUUGUUUGCAUUUGAGGACAAAUGUUUUUUAUUUGUGGUGGGGUGAGGCCCACCUUUUGUGUGACAUUCAUAACUCUUGUUUUGUUUAUAUUUGUCUUUGAGCUACAAAAAUUAUGUUUUUACACUGCUUUUGUGGAUGCUUGAGCUUGUGGCUCCUUUCUUUUAAUUGUAAAUGAUUUUUGACCCUUCCUAAAAAUUUUGCCACCUCUUGUAUGUGUUGAAUGUGGAUGUUCUCUUGCAAAUUUGAGUACCGAUUUUGAUUAAUACCAAUGACUCGAAUAGUGCUCAUAAUCGAACAAAAAUGAAUGUGUGGCUACGACGAGGCUAAUUGAAGUUUCAUAGACAAUAUGUGAACUCUUUGCAUCUCAUUGUGACUAGCCAAGUAUCGAAUUGAGUCACUUGUGAUGCAUAUUGCAUACCAGCAAAAGUGUGAAGUCUUGUUUGACAUUGGUGUCAAUGCCUAGUGUGAUGAGCUUACCGUGAACCAUGUGUGAUGACACCUACAUUUUUCCCCGUUGGUCCGGUUUACUAAGUGAUGCAAUUUCAUGAGAUGAUCUUAGGAGACUUUAAAGAGUGUGAACCAAUUUGACAUUAUACCUCUUUUGUGGGUUGCCUUGUGAGUGUGUGAACCUCUUUUGAGCAACCUUUGAGCCUUAAUCUUUUCUUGGAAGAAACUUGAUAACAUUGCUACCUUUUAUUGACCCAUUACCCAUAUUCCUUGUGAUCUGUGGUUUGUUUGAAUAGCCAACUUACGCCAAAAGCCUAAGUUGGUGGUGUGGUAAAAAGAGAAGGCAAAUCAGGAAAAUGCAAAGAAGUCCCUUUUGCCCAUGUUUUGAGAAAAAAUGGAAGCCCUCCAUAUAAAAAAAAGAUAAGAAAAGAUUAAAAAAAAAAACAAAACAAAAGAAGGAAAAAGUUGUGGAAAUACAAAGAAAAUGAGGUUUCCAAUGAUCCAUGGAAAAUGAAUAAGAGGUGACUUUUGAGCUUGAAUGAAAAUAAUGAAGAAAAGGAAAGAAGGUGUUGUUCACAUCACAUUUUGUGAGGAUUUCAGCCAAUAAGCGUAAAUGACCAUACCUUUACACUCAGCCCCAUUACAAGCCUUGAAAAGACCUUUUUGAUCUUGAAUGAGUUGAAGCAAAAGUCGAUUGGAAAAUAAGGGCAAACCUAUGAGUGAAAUCAUGCAUUGUGUUUAUCUUUGUGAGUGUGAGUGUUGAUCUUGAUUCCGGAACUUUAAAUGAUUGAACCAUUCAGUGAAUAUGGAAUCAUUCUUUGUGUGAGGGUAUUUGAAUACCUUUGUUGAGCUUGAACUUGCAUUUGAAGCAAGUAUAGUGAGCUUGAGAUUCUUUGGUAAUGGUGAGCCACAACUUGAAUCUUUGAGUGUACAAUUUAUCCUUCCACGAGUAAGUUGAGUCUUUUUGUGUGCAUUCAUGAUUGAGUCUUGUGUAGCACUGUUUGAGACAUCCUUUUUGAACUGCUGAACUUGAGUUUUACUUGAGGAAUAGUAAAAGUUUAAGUUGGGGGUGUUGAUGUGUUCACGAUUUGGACUCUUUUAGGGCCUUAUUUUGAUAGAUUUAGUGUCCUCAAAUGCAUAUUUAGUCUCAAGUUGAAAAUCCUUGAGUUUCAGGUAUUUGGAGUUAGAGACAAAGUAUGGACACUAUUGGGCAGAAAAGAACAAGGCAGCUGAAAAGAAUGAAGAAAAGACGGCCUGAGGAUCACCUAAACCAUUAGGCGAGUGGUUGAAUGGCUUUGGUCUCGCCUAAUGUUCCAGUGUGCCAAGCUCUGAAGGAGAAAAUCGAGUCGGAGAGAUAAAGAAGCAGUCGACGAGUCACCGAAUGAUUCCGCGAUGCAGUACUCCAUCGCCAAACGUUACAGAACUUGAAUUUGCUGAAGGCAAUGCAGAAAUGCAAUGAACCAGACCAAAGGUUGGAUCGCCGAGUGGAUCGGUGAUCCCAACUAACUGAGCCGAGUUGUCCUUCACAGCACACUUUUUGACAACUGUAAAUACUUGUUUGAAUUUUUAGUUUAGUGUGCAAUCUAUAGCGAAUUUUGAGAAUAUCAAACAUUAUUCUCAGUUUUUAGAACUUAGUUUUGGAGACUUUGUUCCUUAGCUUUUGAAGAUUUGAAGAUUCCCAUUCCUAAGCAAUUAGAAGUGGGUAUUGAAGAUUCUUCAUUUUAGACGUGUGUAAAGACAAUAUCAAUCGUACCCACUUGAUGAAAACACUUUUUGGUAUCAAUUUUUAUCUCUUUACUAUGUCUAGCUAAAACCCCAAUUCUUGGGGUGUGAUUAUGUGAAUAUGGGUUAAAUUUACUACUAGGUAUUUCUAAUUGAUAGUUAAUUUGUUGUUUAAAGGUGAUUUCGUUCAGUAAUUGUGUUUGAAUUUAAUAGGAUUGUAGUUGCAAAUACAAUUUUAUCUUCAUGUUUUUGGCUUGCAAGAGAGAGAGGUUUUAAAACCAAAACUAAUGAAUCGCUAGUCGGUGGUUAUUGAGUUGUUGUGGGUUAAGUUCGAGAGAGUAAAUCCUAAACCCUCUCCCACACAUUUAGCUCGAGAUAAUGAAUGGACUAAAGUGAAGAAUGUGCUAAAUUGCUGCUUAUCGGUGUUCGAGAGAAACCGAUUUGAUUCGGGGUAAAAUGUUUGAGAGAAAAUUUACCCCCACUAAAGUCUAGCUUAGUUACCAAUUUACAGCGAUUUACUAUCAAUAACUUUUACCCGGUUGUUUAUUUUAGCCCAUAAUCCUAUCACAUCCCAAGAAUCCCUUCUCCAUAUUCGUAUUUCUAUAUUUUUGUUGUUUUAAGUUGCUAAUUUGACUGCAAACCCCCCUUGAUAAUUGACACUUGUGUCACCCUUUAAUUUAAUAUGUUUUUCUUCGUAUAUGUCUUUAGCUAUAAUUGACUUGAACGAAAUUCUUGCUUUCCUAUUAAUUCUCGAUUACAAAUCGCUCCCUUGGGACUCAACCUCAACUCACUAGUUGGGUUAUAUUACUAUUGAACGAUCGUUGAUGCUUAGUAUUGGAUGAAGCGUCACUGAUACAUCAAAUCAUAGUGUCCUUGCCUUGCUUCUUAGUGUCUACAUACUUGAAAAUCAAGGCUUUAACAUCAGUUUAUAUUAUAAAUUAGUUAUUUGAGGACACUAAAACUAUCAAAACAAAUCUCUAAAUGAGUCCAAAUCUCAGACUCAUCAAAGCACUUUGCCAUUGUAGACUUCAUUAUCCAUUAUUUUCUUCUCUUUAUUUUUAAGCUUUCUCCUCAAUACUCUAUUUCACUAGCAAUUUCACUUCAUCAUCUCAAGAAUGUGUCAAUGAGUAUUUUUUUUUUCAUGUCACAUUCUUUUAAUUAGAGUUUUGUCAUCACCUUGUGGCUAUCUGUAACACCUCAGAUUUAAAAAAAAAAAG